rnacentral:lncRNA from 1 species
AGAGUGCUGACUGGUGCAUUUACAAUCCUUUAGCUAGACACAGAGCACUGAUUGGUGCAUUUUUACAGAGUGUUUUUGUAGAGAUGGGAUCUCACUGAGUUUGCUCAGGCUGGUCUCAAACUCCUGGCUUCAAACAAUCCUCCUGCCUCAGCUUCCCAAGUAGCUGGUAACAGGCAUGCUUGGCUAAUUUUUAAAAAAAUUGUUUUCAGAUAUGGAGUCUCGUGAUGUUUCCCCAGGCUGGUCUCAAACUCCUGGCCUAAAGAUCCCUCCACCUCAGCCUCUUAGAGUAGCUGGGAUUAUAUUCUCGAGCGACUGUGCCUGGCCUUUUCUAUUUUUUUAUAUUGGUCAUAACUCACUACAUUUAUUUCCAGCUAUUACAUAGUAAAUUCUUUUUCUUUGGGUUUGUCUUUCUAAGUUACUAAUGGAUAUUUCAGGUUAUAAUGAUCCAGCUUCAGUAUUAGUGACUCCCAAAGCAGUCACAUUCCAUUUUUAAAGAACCCCUUGAGCUUGUAAGCACCAUAAAAAACAAUUUCACCAGAAGCUCCUUCACUCAGGAGUUAAUGGAUAUAAACUAUCCUAGUGACAAGUUAUAUUUUAAAAGAAAAUGUCAGAAACUUGACUAGUCUAAGGCCCAAUACCUGUUUCAGG